AUAUCAUCGAUAUUGGAUCUGAGCUCUCUCGUUCUGGUUCCUCCCUCCUCACGGCGUCAUGACGGCGUCGACACCGCGGAUCACAACGGAGUCCAUCGAACAUACAGUCUUAUUAGGUUUUUCCUUUGUCCCAAAUCUCCUCCUCGUAGAUGUGCAGCGCAGGCGCAGCGCCCCCUUUCCAUUGUAGAACUACCACGCCGCCGGCCGCCGUGCAGCACUCCUCGGUCUCGCCUCCGGCAUGGCCGCCGGGAUGCAGUAGCCCGCCUCGUCUUCGUACUACAACAACCCCCGAGAUGCAACAUGCUCCCUUGCCGGCGGUGGCGGCGGCGCACACGCUGAGCUGGGAGACGGUCGACCUGCUGUCGUCGAUGCCGUCCAGGGCCUCGGCCACGACGACCACAGCCAUGGCCGGCGGCCGCGACCACAACCACGACUCCAGUAUUUCUGUAUUUUAGAGUGUUAUGCAUAGUCUGAUGGUGCUUAGUCUAAUGGUGGAAGUGUGUGUGCUAGUACUGUUCCAGAAUGUGCCUGUGUUGUUCUUACCAAGUUUUCUGAAGCAUAGCACAUUCAGGCUAGACUGAAGCAUACUGCCGCAUUCUGCUUAUUUAACCAUGGUAGUAGACUACUAGUAGUUUGCUUACCACAUUCAGGCUAGAUUACUGCAUGUGUAUGCAUUGGGAGUAGCCUUGUCAGGAUGCUAAUUGGUGUAUCAUGUCUAUGCUUCACAGCUUCAGUAUAGACUUGAUUAUAUGUGCUCUGCUUUAAUAUUUAACGCCUAGCUUUUAAUUUCUAAAUCAAAAUCAUAGACAUAUGCUAUGCUAAAAGACUUCUGUUUUGCAUGCUCCUGUUCUGCACGGUAUAACACAAUUUGAUUUCAUUUAAUCUUUUAAGCCUUUCUGCAAGGUACACAACUUGCUCGCUACAGAGGAAAGAGAUGAUGCACAUUACUCCUUUGUGCAAGUAAAGAAAGGAUAUGUUCUCAUAACAAGGAUGGAAAGUAUAACAGGUUACAAAAACCAAUAUGGACAACACAGAUCUGGAACUCAAGAACAACCUAGUACUCAUGUAGCUGCUAAUGACAUGUGUGCACUGGACGAAUGGCCACCCCAUGCUCACCGCAACCGUGCACAACUAUAGAAUGUUUGGGUUGUAGAAAGUGAUGGACAGAAGAAGAAAGGGCGAGGUGUACUUUUCGUAUUUAGGACAAAGCAUUUAAAGAGGUUCAAAACAAAGAAAAUGAAACUGAAGGUCCAGUUUCCAGUGAACAUAGAAGCAAUAUUUUCCAGACCGCAUAGAAAGACACUCCGCAAUGCAACUCAUCACAGCCUUAUGGGUAUGGAUCACUGUUCAAGAUAUCUUCCGAUAUUCCGAUAAAUCGGCCGAUUUAUCGCUUAUCGUUGUCUGGCCGAUAAGAUAAAUCGGCUGAUAAAUCAGCCGAUAUGGUGAUAAAUCGGCCGAUAUGCCGAUAAACUUGCCGAUUUACCCCUUAUCAUGGGUCGACCGAUAAGUUCCCGAUAAGCGAUAUCCCCAACAUUGGUAUGGAUACAUGGCCAAACCACCAAGUGGUUCUGAAAAGGAUUAAAUCACAAUUUGAAGAGCAAGAACGUGCUAUAACAGAGAUCCAAAAGGUAAACUCUGAGCUCAGCCAUCAGGUCACCGAAUUACAAGAUCAAUUACAAGCUGAACGUGAAAGCACACAAGAGAGGAUUAACUUCGAGCGUGCUAAGAGAGAAAACCUUGAGGAGAGGUUAAAAGAAGAGCGUGCUGAAACGGAAAGAUUGUUGGAAGAGGAGCGAAGAUCAACAUUGGAAUUUGAGAAAAACAUGAUGGCAAAGUUUGCACAGUUCUCCCAACAGAUGCAAACACAUCAGAUGAAUAAGAAAAAGACUAACAAAGAAAUUAGUAAUCCAAACUUGCAAAAUACUCUUUUACAGACCGCUAGUACUACUGGGACUCUAGGUACAAGGCACAAUGUAAUUGCUCCCAAUAUGCUCAUACAAGCUGCAAAUAUUCGAAUGUUUCGAGCAAUGGUAAGUGGAUCCAAAGAUUAACUAGAAUGGACUUUAGACCACGGACAAUUUACUCUUCGCUCUUAAUUAGGUUGGCACAUUCAGUAUGUUGAAUGCGUGCUAAAUUAUAUUUCAGUUUCAUUUGAUGGAUAUUGGCUAUGCAAAUAUUGAUAUUGUAUGAAUGUACAUCAUAUAUGUAUUAUCUGAAUCAUGUAAUUGAAUGCAUGUAUAUAUUUUUCUGGUUGCAA